rnacentral:rRNA from 1 species
UACGUAGGGGGCAAGCGUUGUCCGGAAUCAUUGGGCGUAAAGAGCGUGUAGGCGGCCUGAUAAGUCGGUUGUGAAAGUCAAGGGCUCAACCCUUGAAUGCCGACCGAUACUGUCAGGCUAGAGUCCGGAAGAGGCGAGUGGAAUUCCUGGUGUAGCGGUGAAAUGCGCAGAUAUCAGGAGGAACACCUAUGGCGAAGGCAGCUCGCUGGGACGGUACUGACGCUGAGACGCGAAAGCGUGGGGAGCAAACAGG